rnacentral:rRNA from 1 species
AUUGAACGCUGGCGGCAUGCCUUACACAUGCAAGUCGAACGGUAACAGGUUAAGCUGACGAGUGGCGAACGGGUGAGUAAUGUAUCGGAACGUGCCCAGUCGUGGGGGAUAACUGCUCGAAAGAGCAGCUAAUACCGCAUACGACCUGAGGGUGAAAGCGGGGGAUCGCAAGACCUCGCGCGGUUGGAGCGGCCGAUAUCAGAUUAGGUAGUUGGUGGGGUAAAGGCCUACCAAGCCGACGAUCUGUAGCUGGUCUGAGAGGACGACCAGCCACACUGGGACUGAGACACGGCCCAGACUCCUACGGGGGGCAGCAGUGGGGAAUUUUGGACAAUGGACGCAAGUCUGAUCCAGCCAUGCCGCGUGCGGGAAGAAGGCCUUCGGGUUGUAAACCGCUUUUGUCAGGGAAGAAACGCUCUGGGUUAAUACCUCGGGGUAAUGACGGUACCUGAAGAAUAAGCACCGGCCAACUACGUGCCAGCCGCCGCCGUAAAAC